rnacentral:rRNA from 1 species
UACGGAGGGUGCAAGCGUUGCUCGGAAUUAUUGGGCGUAAAGGGCAGGUAGGUGGUCUCAUUUGUCUGGGGUGAAAGCCUUGGGCUUAACUCAAGAAGUGCCCCAGAAACGGUGAGACUCGAGUACUGGAGAGGUAAGUGGAAUUCCCGGUGUAGCGGUGAAAUGCGUAGAGAUCGGGAGGAACACCAGAGGCGAAGGCGGCUUACUGGACAGUCACUGACACUCA